UGGGAUCCGUGCUCUUCGGAGUGCGGCGCACCACGGCCCUAUGCGUGUCACUUGUGACUGUGUAGAGGUUGAGCAGUAGGCAAGCGACCCGAAAGAUGGUGAACUAUGCCUGAGCAGGAUGAAGCCAGAGGAAACUCUGGUGGAAGUCCGUAUCGGUUCUGACGUGCAAAUCGAUCGAUAGACUUGGGUAUAGGGGCGAAAGACUAAUCGAACCAUCUAGUAGCUGGUUCCUUCCGAAGUUUCCCUCAGGAUAGCUGGAACUCUUGCAGUUAUAUUCGGUAAAGCUAAUGAUUAGAGGCCUUGGGGACGUAAUGUCCUCAACCUAUUCUCAAACUUUCAAUGGAUAUGGCGUCGCAGUUUCUUUAGUGAACUGCGGCGUGAAUGCGAGUUCCAAGUGGGCCAUUUUUGGUAAGCAGAACUGGCGCUGUGGGAUGAACCAAACGUGGAGUUAAGGUGCCUAACUUCUCGCUUAUGAGACCCCAUAAAAGGUGUUGGUUGAUAUUGACAGCAGGACGGUGGCCAUGGAAGUCGGUACCCGCUAAGGAGUGUGUAACAACUCACCUGCCGAAUCAACUAGCCCUGAAAAUGGAUGGCGCUUAAGCGAGAGACCUAUACUCCGCCGUCGCGGCAUGUGCGUUGUCUAGCGCCAGGUCGACGACGAGUAGGAAGGACGUGGCGGUUGCGUUGAAGGCUAUGAGCGUAGGCUCGGCUGGAGCUUCCGUCAGUGCAGAUCGUAAUGGUAGUAGCAAAUUAUUCAAGUUCGAUCCUUGAAGACUGAAGUGGAGAAGGGUUCCACGUGAACAGUAGUUGGAUGUGGGUCAGUCGAUCCUAAGGUACUGGCGAAAGCCUUGUAUCAUCGGUGGCGAAAAGCUUGCUUUUUGUCCCCGCCCGUCGAAAGGGAAUAGGGUUAAUAUUCCCUAACUGAGAUGCAAAGAUUGUGUUCUUCGGAGCACAAGCGCGGUAACGCGUUCGAACUUGGUAAGUCGCUCAGAGACCGAGCUAGAGUUUUCUUCUCUAGUUAAGGAACGGACUCCCUGGAAUUGGUUCAGCCAGAGAUGGGGACGUUGUUUCCGAAAAGCACCGCGGUUUCUGUGGUGUCUCGUGCUCUCUGAACGGCCCUU
rnacentral:ncRNA from 1 species